UGAGGAACAUGACCUUCGGCGGGGGAGUAGCCGGCCCAACGGCCGGGUAAUACCGCGUACGACCACAUGGGGACAUCCCUGAGUGGUGAAAGCAGCAAUGCGCCGAUGGAGUGCCUCGCGGCCUAUCAGCUAGUUGGUGAGGUAACGGCUCACCAAGGCAACGACGGGUAGCUGGUCUGAGAGGAUGGCCAGCCACAUUGGGACUGAGACACGGCCCAGACUUCUACGGGGAGG
rnacentral:rRNA from 1 species